GUGGGGAAUAUUGGACAAUGGGCGCAAGCCUGAUCCAGCCAUGCCGCGUGAGUGACGAAGGUCUUCGGAUUGUAAAGCUCUUUUGCCAGGGACGAUAAUGACGGUACCUGGAGAAUAAGCCCCGGCUAACUUCGUGCCAGCAGCCGCGGUAAUACGAAGGGGGCUAGCGUUGUUCGGAAUUACUGGGCGUAAAGCGCACGUAGGCGGAUUUGUUAGUCAGGGGUGAAAUCCCGGGGCUCAACCUCGGAACUGCCUUUGAUACUGCAAGUCUAGAGUCCGGAAGAGGUGAGUGGAAUUCCUAGUGUAGAGGUGAAAUUCGUAGAUAUUAGGAAGAACACCAGUGGCGAAGGCGGCUCACUGGUCCGGUACUGACGCUGAGGUGCGAAAGCGUGGGGAGCAAACAGGAUUAGAUACCCCAGUAGUCC
rnacentral:rRNA from 1 species